ensembl:lncRNA
CAGGCCCUCAUGGAUUAAAUAUCACCCACCGUGAGCCUGGCUAAUACAGCCAAUACAUAAGAAUACACCAUGAGCAAGCUUUGGUUGGAUGUGGGGACGUACAAACAGGCAUCUGCAGCUCUGCUCUGAGCUUCAGCUCAGCUUCAGCUUCUCAGACUGUGGCAUCCUCCCAAAAGGAAUUGCUAUGACAAAUAAAAACACUAUAGAUAUGAUUUCAGCCAAACAUACACUGUCUCACAUAAACAAAGAUUAUCAGUUGUACUACAGCAGAUAUAAAGGUAACUUAUUUGAACUAAAAAUGGUUAUCUGUGGUGCAGAGGAUGUUUUAUGGCAUUUCAUGCCAGCAGCAUUGGUGCACGUUGUGGAGAAAAAACCCCUAAAGAUGCUAAAUCCAAAAGAUUUUACUGUCCAGGGUCACAGGGAGCCUGGAGCCUAUCCCAGAGGACUUGGGGCACAAGGUGGGGGACACCCUGGACGGGGUGCUAACCCAUCGUAGUGCACAAUCCCACACACUCGCACACUCAUUCUCACACUACAGACCAUUUGGAAAUGCCAAUCAGCCUACAAUGCAUGUUUAUGGACUGGGAGAGGAAACCGGAGUACCCAGAGGAAGACCCUAAAGCAUGGGAAGAACAUGCAAGCUCUGCGCACACACAGGGCAGAAGUGGGAAUCGAACCACAAACCCUCUUCCUCCAGCUGCUGCACUGAGCUUCACGGUGUGUUCACCUGGGACAUCAGGUCAGACUUCUCACUGUCCAGCUGAGCACUGGACUUGAUCGCUGGCCCAUAUUUCCCUUCAGCUUCAGCCACAGUGACCUGGAAGUUCAAAAACUGGCUUUAUUUACUUCUAUACCCCACACACAUUCAGACACUGUUGUGGACUUGAUUCGUCACUCAUCAGAUCAGCCUGAAAUGUUUUGCGGACACAGGACCAAAUGUCUUCACAACAUGACUGAACAAGGAUCAACACAGACAGUUCACAAUAGCAGUCAUAAUUACAUGAGAAGAAGAAGUUGAAAAGAUUACUCUUAGUGACUCCUUGUUGUGUGAUUGAGUUUCCUUCAUUUCAUCAUACGACAACUUCAGGUCACUGUGAGUUUCCCGCUCACGCUUACACUCCUAAAACACAGUCAUGGAGCAAAAGACAUUUUUAACUUAGUGCUAAACUAGCUGCUUCACUUCAAUGAAGAAGGAAUAACUUCAAAGUAGAGUGAAUUUUGGUCAUGUAGAAUUUGUGAAUUUUACGUUUUUGUUUACAUUACAAGUAUUUUUCUUUAGUUUAUAAGGCUGUCUUGCUGAAACACAUGUAAAGUAAAAAUACCCAAAUUAAAUAAAUUCACUCUCUCUAAGCCUACCUCCUGAGUUCUCAACUUCCUCAUGCCAACCAGGGUGCAACAGUCUCUGAUGGCUCAUUUGAAUUUUAUCAUGAAAGAAACAAAAACGGUCGGAGCACAGAAAAAUCGUAGCGGAGUUACAGCUUCCUGUAGCCUUAUUACAUAAAGUUGACUUGGCAGGGGAAUUGGCAUCCGUGUUCUCAACAUUCUACGAGGGCGAACAGCUCCAAAAAUAAUCAACUUUGAUGUGUAAAGAGUAAUUUCUAUUGGCAUAAUAUCACUACCAUUAUAACAAGGGUCCAUUUUUGUUUUUGCACAAGUGUAGAUUGUGCUAAUUGAUGACCUAAGCAGAAAGUAUUUUAUUUAAUCGCAGGUCUACCAUAGAUCUAUCUUCAGCAUAUAAUCUGUAGCGGUGUACCCAGACCUAUUACAAUGGUAUGGCCAGGUUAGACCCAAUGCUUUUCUUGUUGUUGCAAUCUAGG